AGUAACACGUGAGUAACCUGCCCUCUACUCUGGGAUAAGCGCUGGAAACGGUGUCUAAUACUGGAUACGACCUUGAACCGCAUGGUUUCUUGGUGGAAAGUUUUUUCGGUAGGGGAUGGACUCGCGGCCUAUCAGCUUGAUGGUGAGGUAAUGGCUCACCAUGGCGACGACGGGUAGCCGGCCUGAGAGGGUGACCGGCCACACUGGGACUGAGACACGGCCCAGACUCCUACGGGAGGCAGCAGUGGGGAAUAUUGCACAAUGGGCGAAAGCCUGAUGCAGCAACGCCGCGUGAGGGAUGACGGCCUUCGGGUUGUAAACCUCUUUUAGUAGGGAAGAAGCUUUUGUGACGGUACCUACAGAAAAAGCACCGGCUAACUACGUGCCAGCAGCCGCGGUAAUACGUAGGGUGCAAGCGUUGUCCGGAAUUAUUGGGCGUAAAGAGCUCGUAGGCGGUUUGUCGCGUCUGCUGUGAAAUCCUAAGGCUCAACCUUAGACUUGCAGUGGGUACGGGCAGGCUUGAGUGCGGUAGGGGAGAUUGGAAUUCCUGGUGUAGCGGUGGAAUG
rnacentral:rRNA from 1 species